UACAUAGGGUGCAAGCGUUGUCCGGAAUUAUUGGGCGUAAAGAGCUCGUAGGUCGUUUGCCGCGUCGAUUGUGAAAAUCUGAGGCUCAACCUCAGACCUGCAGUCGAUACGGGCAAACUAGAGUGUGGUAGGGGAGACUGGAAUUCCUGGUGUAGCGGUGGAAUGCGCAGAUAUCAGGAGGAACACCAAUGGCGAAGGCAGGUCUCUGGGCCAUAACUGACACUGAGGAGCGAAAACGCGGGGAGCGAACAGGAUUAGAUACCCUGGUAGUCCGCGCCGUAAACGAUGGGCACUAGCUGUGAGAGCCUUCCACGGUUCUCGCGACGCAGCAAACGCAUUAAGUGCCCCGCCUGGGGAGUACGAUCGCAAGAUUAAAACUCAAAGGAAUUGACGGGGCCCCGCACAAGCAGCGGAGCAUGCGGCUUAAUUCGACGCAACGCGAAGAACCUUACCAAGGCUUGACAUAUAGCGAAAAGUGGCAGAGAUGUCAUGUCCGCAAGGGCGCUAUACAGGUGGUGCAUGGUUGUCGUCAGCUCGUGUCGUGAGAUGUUGGGUUAAGUCCCGCAACGAGCGCAACCCUCGUUCUGUGUUACCAGCAUUCAGUUGGGGACUCACAGGAGACUGCCGGGGUCAACUCGGAGGAAGGUGGGGAUGACGUCAAAUCAUCAUGCCCCUUAUGUCUUGGGCUGCACGCAUGCUACAAUGGCCGGUACAAAGUGCUGCGAAAUCGUAAGAUUUAGCGAAUCACAUAAAGCCGGUCUCAGUUCGGAUUGAGGUCUGCAACUCGACCUCAUGAAGUCGGAGUUGCUAGUAAUCGUAGAUCAGCAACGCUACGGUGAAUACGUUCCCGGGGAU
rnacentral:rRNA from 1 species